AUGGAAGAUGAACCUCCAAUCUUUGCUGAAGAGGAGGCUGAUCCUAGUAAGAAGAAGAAGAAACGCAAACGCGAGACAAUAAAGCAGACUCAAUGCAAGGCAAAAAUGUUGGUGAAGCUGAUAGAUGGGCGAAGGGAGGUGACGCACUUUUUUCGUGACCACAAUCAUCCGCUGGUGAACAAACCUUCGUUGUCCAAAUACUUGAGAUCCCACCAAGGCAUCUCACCUGAUGAAAAGGAGUUUUUGCGCAUCUUGUAUAACUGCAACUUGACUACAGGACCUAUGACGCAUAUAAUGGCAGAGUUCUACGGAUCUGAGAUGAUGGUGCCGUUCGGACCAAAGGCAAUAACAAAUCUGCGUACAAGUUUCCGUAGAGAUGACACAAAGGAGGGUGACAUGAUUGAAACAAUAGUGGACUUCAAGGAUAUACAGAAAACCGAUCCAGACUUCUUCUAUAAGGUAAAAUAUGAUGAAGAGGACAGAGUUGUCAACAUAUUUUGGGUGGAUGGCUUAGCUCGAAAAGGUUAUGCUGAGGCGUACCACGAUUGCAUAUCGUUUGACACUACCUACAUGACCAACAUGUAUAAUAUGCCGUUCGCACCCUUCAUUGGAAUAAACUGA
rnacentral:rRNA from 1 species